GUUUGAUCCUGGCUCAGGACGAACGCUGGCGGCGUGCCUAAUACAUGCAAGUCGAACGAGAGCGACCGGUGCUUGCACUGGUCAAUCUAGUGGCGAACGGGUGAGUAACACGUGGGUAACCUGCCCAUCAGAGGGGGAUAACAUUCGGAAACGGAUGCUAAAACCGCAUAGGUCUUCGAACCGCAUGGUUUGAAGAGGAAAAGAGGCGCAAGCUUCUGCUGAUGGAUGGACCCGCGGUGCAUUAGCUAGUUGGUGAGGUAACGGCUCACCAAGGCCGUGAUGCAUAGCCGACCUGAGAGGGUGAUCGGCCACAUUGGGACUGAGACACGGCCCAAACUCCUACGGGAGGCAGCAGUAGGGAAUCUUCCGCAAUGGACGCAAGUCUGACGGAGCAACGCCGCGUGAGUGAAGAAGGUUUUCGGAUCGUAAAACUCUGUUGUUAGAGAAGAACAAGUGCUAGAGUAACUGUUAGCGCCUUGACGGUAUCUAACCAGAAAGCCACGGCUAACUACGUGCCAGCAGCCGCGGUAAUACGUAGGUGGCAAGCGUUGUCCGGAUUUAUUGGGCGUAAAGCGAGCGCAGGCGGUUCCUUAAGUCUGAUGUGAAAGCCCCCGGCUCAACCGGGGAGGGUCAUUGGAAACUGGGGAACUUGAGUGCAGAAGAGGAGAGUGGAAUUCCAUGUGUAGCGGUGAAAUGCGUAGAUAUAUGGAGGAACACCAGUGGCGAAGGCGACUCUCUGGUCUGUAACUGACGCUGAGGCUCGAAAGCGUGGGUAGCAAACAGGAUUAGAUACCCUGGUAGUCCACGCCGUAAAC
rnacentral:rRNA from 1 species